GAUGAACGCUGGCGGCGUGCCUAAUACAUGCAAGUCGAGCGAACAGACGAGGAGCUUGCUCCUCUGACGUUAGCGGCGGACGGGUGAGUAACACGUGGAUAACCUACCUAUAAGACUGGGAUAACUUCGGGAAACCGGAGCUAAUACCGGAUAAUAUAUUGAACCGCAUGGUUCAAUGGUGAAAGACGGUUUUGCUGUCACUUAUCGAUGGAUCCGCGCUGCAUUAGCUAGUUGUUAAGGUAACGGCUUACGAAGGCAACGAUGCGUAGCCGACCUGAGAGGGUGAUCGGCCACACGGGAACUGAGACACGGUCCAGACGCCUACGGGAGGCAGCAGUAGGGAAUCUGCCGCAAUGGGCGAAAGCCUGACGGAGCAACGCCGCGUGAGUGAUGAAGGUCUUCGGAUCGUAAAACUCUGUUAUUAGGGAAGAACAAAUGUGUAAGUAACUAUGCACGUCUUGACGGUACCUAAUCAGAAAGCCACGGCUAACUACGUG
rnacentral:rRNA from 1 species